ensembl:snoRNA small nucleolar RNA U85
GCCCCAUGAUGAUACUAUGGCAAAUGUGAGCACGUUGAACCAGGGGGCUGGGUUGUCCUUGUCCUGACUGGCUGGUAAUCUUGGCCGUGUAGUGAAGGUUUACUGCUCGGCUGUAAGGGCCGGCCUACAGUGACAGGCUCUUCCCACUAUGAUCCCACUUUCAAAGAUAUGCUUAGUCGGGUAAUGAUGUGGAGGAUGCCAACAGCGUGCGUAUUUAUGUGUACGUCAGGCGAGGCGUUUACCCAGCCCUCUGUGUAGUUCACGUGCCGUGAGCUUCUUCUUUGGUAAUCUGAGGGCG